GCCGGCGCUCCCAGCGGGGGCUGGGGAGGCCGAGGGGCUGCUGGGGUCCCCCGAGCGGGAGCCGGCAUCGCGGGGAAGCUCGCCCCGCUUGGGGUGUGCGUGCAGCAGUGAUGCUGUGGUGGGCCACUGCAAGGGGGGACGUCGGUCCACGUGGGGUGGCGAUGCUUGUCCCCUCCACAUCUGCAGGCAAUGUCAGGCAGCACGGGGGUCCCGCCGUGCCGGCAUCCUUCCCGUGGGAGUGUACGGGGGUGAGGUGGAAGCUGUGCCCCGAGAAGCCUGCAAGGAAGCCAUAGUCACCCCUGGCCCGUGUGGGGGUGUAGAGGGGGUGACUCACUGGUGGACCUGUUUGUGUGUGGGUGUGAGCAGGAGCAGCCCCCAGGCAUCCUCAUCCACCCUGAGCGCCUGCCUGAAGGGUGCUUUUGGGGCCGGGGCAGCUGGCCUGAGGUCUUGGGCUUAGGGUCAGGUGGUGACAGUGACACAGGAGAGUGACCUCAGUCCUUUCUGAGCUUUGCUCUGUCUGUGCUCUUGGGUGAUCCUGGCUCAACGAAGUAAAUGUGACAGAGGGUCACCCUGGCUCUUCCUCCAUUGAUUUCUCAGGGUGACCCUGACUAGCUCAGUGACUGAGGGUCUGGGGACAAGACAGUAAGUGAUCCUACUGACUUUCUCUCACUUAGAUAGGGAUUUUAGGUUUUCAUUCUCACUAUUUUACACUUUGAUGACUUGGAUUUUGGUUCUGUCUUUUCAUUGCAGUUGUCAGUGGUGAUGCGGGUUCGCUCUCUAACUCAGGGCUUUGGGGUGAACAAAUGGUUGUAAUUCCUUUGAGAGAAACAUGCACUGGUCUCUCAUUUAACCAGAAAAACAACCACCAGCAAAUCCUCCCUGCAAUACAGGACAAAGGACUCGUAACAGGAAAUGUUUGAUUAUAAAAUGGCAAUAAGUAUUUUGUAGUGUAUUUAUCAGGAUUUCCACAAAGCAUUCAGAGCUAAACCUCAUUCUGCAGAAAGCGUGGUUAUGGUGGGUAUAAUCUCUUAAUCAGUUCCACUUACUCCGCUGGCAGUCUCAUAGAUGUGCACAUAAGUGUGUGGUUUAGUGACUUCAGGAAGUUCAUGGAGUUGUACCCCAUGGCAUGCUGCAGUUUCUGCCCACUCACCCUAUGAGCCUACUGAGGUAAGUUAAACAGAAAGUAAAGGUCCUCACAGUUAUUACUGUCACUUGCAGAGUGCCAACGUUGUUUAUGUUUUUGAAGGUUGCCUACCAGUAUGUCUUCCCUCAACAGCUGGCUCCAGUUGAUUCUUAAAAUAUGUUUUUAAUAAAGAAUGGGUUCUGAAGAAAAGCUACCAGAAGUGUCUCUUUGCUCAUCAGUGACACAUCCACAUCUCGCACCUCAGCUGUCUGAAUCCCAAAGAAACUUUCUCUGUCAGUUACCUGACAGACUGUGGUGUAUGCCGUGAUUGCCCUGCAGGUUUUCUUUCACCUACUGUCUUGAGGAAAGUUGCUGACAGUGUCAAAACUGCAGCUUUUGUGACAGAGAAUCUUCCUGCUCAACUUUGCUGGAGAACUGAGAAGUACGGAGUAAAUGUUAAGUGGAAGAUACCAGGAGAAAUAGGAGGGUAGGCGUGCUGUUGUGCCCUGGAGUUGUAGUUGGGUUUUUAGCCCAGCCUUUGACAGAACCUGUAGGUACUUGAUUUCCAAAUUUUCCAUCUGUUCUAGGUCAUCCUGAACCAUUAGUGACUUGUGUGAAGAUAUUUCAAGUUUGCAAAAUGAAUACUGUAAUUAACACUGUAGUAGGAAACUGCAACACAGCAAUAUAAAUCUCUCAGAAGAUAGAGUAUUUACCUUUCUAAACUGCUUUUAAAGAUUGUAUUCUGAUUUCAAACCUGGGCAGCCAGAGUAAGGCAGUGUCAGAACCAUAACAACCGCGUCUAAAUCUGUAUUUUCAUUUUCUGAAGAUCUGUACUUGAUCUUGCAGGUAGGGAGAAAAUUUUGAGAAUUUCUGGUGAGUUUUAAAGCUUUAAAGUGAAUUUUUAUUUAAGGACUCGCAUGCACUUAGUAAGCGCUCUCAAACACAGUAAUUUAAGGUGAUGGUAACCUUCAUUUGGAACCGAGACAUUAUGUUUUUCCACACCUGAAACAAGAGCCCUUAUUUUCUGAGUAUUCUGGCAAAUACACUCUUGUUUUAUGUCAGCUGAGAUGAUGACUAACUCUAAAAACAUUUGAGUGAAGUCCUGGGCUUACGGAAAUCAAGACAAAACUCUGUGAACAUCAAUCUCUGCCUCACAGUGUUAGUUACUGACUCAUACAUCACUUAGAUUAUGGUGGGGCUGCUCAGUGGUAAACUUCCCUAAGAACUGUGGUAAUUAUUUUCUUUUAGCAUUACUGAUUUAGGUUCACUAGUGUCUUUUUUGGGAAUUGUGAUGUUGAUAAAAAUGGGGUAUUUUCUGUUAAUGAAAUGGUACUUAAUAUUUGUGAUUUUCUUUAUUCAAAAGUGUGAUCUCUAAAAAUAGAAAUUUAUAGAAAUUCAAAUAUAAGUUGCCAUGGUAACCUCUUCAGGGAUAGUGCACGCACAAGAUUAUUCUAGCAAGACCAUCCAGUGAUGUUAUAUAAAUAGUGGAACUAGUUUGUUGACAAGAAGGUUUACUUUAGUCGAGAUUCUAAAAAAAUUCAACUUCUAGUGCGUGCAAUCUGGGAGCCAGAUAGCGACAUCUACUAAACAUGGGGCUUGUAAAUAUGAAAUGUAAUCCAUGUAUAUAUGAUUGCUUUGAAACCUGCAACACUUUCCUUUGCUUCUUGAGUUCAGGAGUUAGGUCUGAAUGUUAUUUCUGUCUUCAUAUUAUCGUUUCGGAUUUCAUAGACCGUGAAAUGAAAUUAAAGAGUGCAGCCGUACUCCUUUCACUCCACUCGUAAUAGAAUGAUCAUUCACAAAAGGCUGUUUGACACAAUGCUGUUAUGUAGAUAUGGAAAUCUACUGGCAUAAGGUGCUGUCAUAGGAGGAGGAGUGCUGGGUGACUGAAUCUUUGUGCGUUGGUUUAAAUGUCUCUGAAACAGACACCUAAUUCUUGCCUGACUGAAAUGUGUGCACUGUUUUGUUGGUUAAUAUCUGUAAGUGAUUUUGGUGUCCAGCGGCUUCUAAGUGCCGGGUACUUGUUUGCUUCUGUGAAAAAGAAAAAAAACAACAUCUAAGUGAAAUUUAGUAAAAAAAACCACCUAAGUGGUUCGUAAGGAAGCACAAGAGGCAAUAUUAAGUGCUGAGUUCAAAAAGUGUCUGCAGAUGUCCAGCAGGAACUGGAAUGCCAGUGCUCAUCUCAAAUAUCAUAUUUCAAAGUAAUUACCUCUAAAGCAUUUUUACUUUUGAAUAAUAGUUGACAAAUGAUGCUGUUUAAAGAAGUAAUUAGUAUUUGUGAUUGAUUUAUCCUUGGGAUUAUGGAUUACUCCUGUACCGAGUGCAGGAAUGCAAAAACGGCCCUGAAAUUCACCAGAUCCGUAGCUAUAUAUCCUUAAUGUUUGAGAAGACUAAAUCUGUUCAUGGGUAAGGGGGCAGCCUCUGCAAUGUGAGGUACUUAAGCAGUGCAGGACUCAGCAUGGCCCAGGGCACUUGAGCCCUCACUGCCGUUUGCAGCAGCUAAAGGCAAUUUACACAGCCCCCUUGCUAUGGUUUUUAUAUCUAGGAAAUAUCAUAAUUACUUGGUUUACAGGGAAAUAGAAAUCCUAAUUAGCAAGUAUUUGUCAAGUUUUGUGUAAGUAUAUAUUCGCUGCUGUGCAAAUAGACCCACAAAAGCCUUGCAGUCUAAGCAUCAAGAUACAUCUUUCAAGUAUUCUUAAAAAUACUGAUGGUGCUUCAUAAUGACAUGGGGAGUUGUAUUUGAGCAGUGGGUGGUAUUUUUGGAGGGUAAUAAAGUUCCCCUUUACUGCUUUUAUAUGGUGUUAAAUUGUCAGAGAUUCCUUUCAGUGACCCAUUGCAUCAGCACCAGCUUUGAACAUUAGGUGAUGUGAAGAAUCAGCUGAAAUGAGUGGGAUGGGAGAGGGGAAAAAUAUGAUUUUACAGAUUCCCUCGAGAGGCUAAAGAUACAGAAAUUUAUGUUGAAGAACAUUCUUAUCAAAGAUAACUUUUGUCUUUAUUUGGUGAUUUGCUUAUGUUUUCUCCAGGUGCCUAGAUACCUGUUUUGAUACCUGUCAAGAAAGCCUUGAUUUAGGAAGCCUGUCAUGUACUAUGGUGAAUGACUGAAGUGAGUUAUAUUUUUAGGGCUUUGCCUGUUCUGAUGCAAGACAGGUUUUAUUUUUGGUGGAAACAACACUGCUGCAGUCGUCUGAAAUACUGUGAAUGGAGUGGUGAGCUGUUCUGCCUGAUGCUGCUAGUGUUUCCAUGGAAACAAGCCAGCUCUUCGCUUCCUCUUCCCAUUGAAAACAGCCUUCUCACUGUCACUUAUUCAUCUGGGAAAAGGAUUUUGUCAUGGCUCUGACAUAAAUGACACAGAGAUGAUCUGUCCUAUCAUUUCAGAAAUAGAUGCUAUUAGUUCUACUGUUCAGACAAGAACAGCGUGACAACUGUGUGCACUGAAGAAAUGCCAAAAUGGGGUGAAAUGUGAGCGUGAGACAGGAGGGAAGAUGUUUGGGAUCCUAGACUUCAGGAAUAGAGGAUCAGUUCAAGUUAAGUUCAUACAUCUCUGCUUCUUGUGAGGAUUAUUGACUAAUGGGAAGCAUAAAACCAUGAAACCAGCAUUUAAGCAGAAGAUGCAGAAUGUCAUUAUACAGUGAAAGCUGGGAAUGGUUUAUGCCAUGAUGAACUCAUUUGGUCAGGCUUGGAGGGACACUGAGAGUGAAGAGGGAUCAGGAGCCUGUAGUGCUAGCAGGAAGUUCUGGAAAUCCAAGUUUAUGUCUUCUGUGGCUCACCCUUGACUGUAAACUGUGAAGAUACAAGAGAUGCUCUCUUACCUUAGAAAAUAAAAAGAAAUAAAUUUAAGAACAAUUAGUGCUCAAAUAACAGUUUCUAAAAAAGAGGGAAUUGUAUUUUUGUUUCUGACUGCAACAUAUAGUGCAAAGGAGAGCUUAGGUAAUUCUUAAUGAAGGUUGAGGAUUGUUUCUGUGGUUUCGAUGGCUGAAAAUUUAAGCAUACAUAAUUGUUUAAUGGUCCAUUUUUUCUUCUUUUUUCUGUUGGAUUUUUUUUGUUUUCCACUCAGUGGAUCUAUGGUAGAAGUGAAACUGUGUAGUAAUUUGAAUGUUUGCAGUAAUGAGUACGAGAGGAAAUCCUCGAUAUAUUGAUAAUAGUGUUUGCAGAGCAGACUUGGAAGAGUGUUUUCAGAGAAGAAGGCUUAUAUCCUACACCUGAAGGCUACAGAAAAAAAAUAAAAUUUUGACUUCAGUAAGAAAACACGACAAUUUUGCGAACUGAGGCAAAGUCUACAUGGAAGCAAACUCUUCAGUCGUGUUAGUAAUAGUUGCUUUGUUGGAUGUAAACCCAAGGUGAUAGAAUUAAAAUCAGAGAACAGUAGAAAAGACCUUUAAAAUAAUGGAUUAAGGUGGGAGUUGGCACAUAUUGGUCUGCUAUAGUUUUUCUUCUAAAAUUUCUUUAAGUAAAAAGUUUGCAGAAUUUGGUACUGUUCACUGAACAUCUGCAAAGACCUUCACUAUUUGGCCUUUUGCAGUUAAAUUCCAGCACAACAGAAUGUAAAGUCUCAAAGUGAAAAAUGUUGUUCAGUUUUUACAGUUGAUCUAUCAAUUUGAUCUGCAGUAUAUUAGAAUGAUAAGUAUAUUGAAUGAGCUGACAUUUAUUCUUGGUUGUGUUCUGUAGCUGCUUUCUAGGGGAUGCAUUUUAUCAGGCUUUAAAAAAAAAAGAGGAUAAAUCCCAAGGGCAUGGCCAGUGUCAUCCAUACUUAUGGUAGCACCUAAUUUUAUAUUUCAGGAGCGUUUGCAUUAGUUACUGAAAGCUAGUUGCUAUUCCUUGCUGCUUUUUAAUAGGUUAAUAAUUUGUACUUAAUUAUAUAGAUCAGUAUUGGCUGAGCAUACAGCGGUGUUGUAAUUGAGUUACUGUAAAUUUUGGUAUGAAAUUUUUUCAACAGCAAUUAAUCCUUAAUUCUGAAAUAACACUCAUCUUUGUGUCCUGCUUUUCAUGUACAAGAGCUGUAGCUGUAACUUCUCCCUGUAGAGAUGGGUGAAUUUGUCCUAUAUGUGGUGAAUGCAUUUUCAUGAAACAAGAUGUGUAACGUGUUGUUUAACAGUUUAUUGUGAAACGAAGCCAAACAUUUUGCUUAUUGAUCAGAAAUGUAAAUUGUUUCUUAACGUGAAAGCCAUGGAGGGGAAGAGCAUUGCCGUCAAAAAUUGAAGUGUUGAAGUGUUUUGGAGAUUCCUGGGGCCGCUAAUGAUGCUAUUUUGAUUUUCUUUGUUUUUCCUUUUUCCUCACAAAGGGAAUCUAUACUGAGUCACUAUAUCAGGAAACACAUAUUAGGGAAACUAUACUGAAUUAUUA